rnacentral:lncRNA from 1 species
AGUUCUUGGGUCUGUGCUGCUGGCCUGGGGUUGUGGUUGAGGCCGGGUCUCCGCUCCUGUGCCCGGGAAGAUGGUGCUAGGUGGUUGCCCGACCUGAUGAAUUUAUAGAAUGUGAAGACCCAGUGGAUCAUGUUGGAAAUGCAACUGCAUCCCAGGAACUUGGUUAUGGUUGUCUCAAGUUCGGCGGUCAGGCCUACAGCGACGUGGAACACACUUCAGUCCAGUGCCAUGCCUUAGAUGGAAUUGAGUGUGCCAGUCCUAGGACCUUUCUACGAGAAAAUAAACCUUGUAUAAAGUAUACCGGACACUACUUCAUAACCACUUUACUCUACUCCUUCUUCCUGGGAUGUUUUGGUGUGGAUCGAUUCUGUUUGGGACACACUGGCACUGCAGUAGGGAAGCUGUUGACGCUUGGAGGACUUGGGAUUUGGUGGUUUGUUGACCUUAUUUUGCUAAUUACUGGAGGGCU